AAAGUCGUAACAAGGUUUCCGUAGGUGAACCUGCGGAAGGAUCAUUAUUGAUUCUAACUGGAUGUGCUGGCAAGGUCAAUAAAUUGAUCUUGCACUGUGCACUCCAUUUAAAUCUCACCUGUGCACAUUUAUGUAGAAUGCAGCAGAGCAAUCUGCUUGCACUCUAUGUUUUUUUUCACAAACAUACUUUUAAAUAAAAUGAUAAUUGUGUAAAGGUUGGCCUAAAACCAUCCUUAUAACUCAAUACAACUUUCAACAACGGAUCUCUUGGUUCUC
rnacentral:misc_RNA from 1 species